GGGGUUGUGGCUCAAUGGUAGAACACUCACCUAGCUCAUGGGAGGCCCUGAGUUCAAAACUCAGCACCACA
rnacentral:tRNA from 1 species